rnacentral:lncRNA from 1 species
AUAUACUAGAAAUACAUGGAUGCAACAACCCCUCGCCUAUAUAUUCCAAACAUUGUGUCAACAUGAAGUAUUCGUAGUUACGCCAACACUGAACGCAGGCUCGCGUUGCCACGUCAUGUUAGUCAUAGCAACACGAUAAUUGUUUUUUAAUUUUUUGUGCAAACUGGGAAAAAUAGAUGAAAUUUGAACACUUUUAAAUACAGAACUAUCAAUUCCUAAAAUAUAUAAAGUAGGUAUAAUAUUUUGGCUUCUAAUGGC